CAGGGAAGUAUUUCUUCCAUAGUUCACGAACAACCGAUUUCACACGUCCAUAUUGCUUCAUGUGCUCUGCGACGAUAGGAUUUGGCAUUCCGGGUGGCAAAUCGUGAAUUCUCACAUUGGUGGAGGGAUCUUCUAUGAAGACAGGAAUUAGAAACUUUUUUGCUUCUACUUGAAUUGAGUGCUUCAGGUUAUGCGAAGCAGCCAAUGCUUCUGCUGUAUCCAUGCUACCGAACUCAAUAAAAACUUGUUUUCGGAUGCUAUGUA